GAUGAACGCUGGCGGCGUGCCUAAUACAUGCAAGUCGAGCGAACAGACGAGGAGCUUGCUCCUCUGACGUUAGCGGCGGACGGGUGAGUAACACGUGGAUAACCUACCUAUAAGACUGGGAUAACUUCGGGAAACCGGAGCUAAUACCGGAUAAUAUAUUGAACCGCAUGGUUCAAUAGUGAAAGACGGUUUUGCUGUCACAUAUAGAUGGAUCCGCGCCGCAUUAGCUAGUUGGUAAGGUAACGGCUUACCAAGGCAACGAUGCGUAGCCGACCUGAGAGGGUGAUCGGCCACACUGGAACUGAGACACGGUCCAGACUCCUACGGGAGGCAGCAGUAGGGAAUCUUCCGCAAUGGGCGAAAGCCUGACGGAGCAACGCCGCGUGAGUGAUGAAGGUCUUCGGAUCGUAAAACUCUGUUAUUAGGGAAGAACAAAUGUGUAAGUAACUAUGCACGUCUUGACGGUACCUAAUCAGAAAGCCACGGCUAACUACG
rnacentral:rRNA from 1 species